CACGUAGGCGGCGCGCUCAGUCGGGUGUGAAAGCCCACGGCCCAACCGUGGAAUUGCACCCGAUACUGGCGCGCUCGAGGACGGAAGGGGUGAGUGGAACUCCAGGUGGAACGGUGAAAUGUAUAGAUAUCUGGAGGAACACCGGUGGCGAAAGCGGCUCACUGGUCCGUCUCUGACGCUGAGGUGCGAAAGCCAGGGUAGCGAACG
rnacentral:rRNA from 1 species